rnacentral:rRNA from 1 species
AUUGAACGCUGGCGGCAGGCCUAACACAUGCAAGUCGAGCGAGCGGCGGACGGGUGAGUAAUGUAUGGGGAUCUACCCGAUAGAGGGGGAUAACUACUGGAAACGGUGGCUAAUACCGCAUACUAUCGGAUGAACCCAUAUGGGAUUAGCUAGUAGGUGGGGUAAAGGCUCACCUAGGCGACGAUCCCUAGCUGGUCUGAGAGGAUGACCAGACAAACUGGAACUGAGACACGGUCCAGACUCCGACGGGAGACAGCAGUGGGGAAUAUUGCACAAUGGGCGGAAGCCUGAUGCAGCCAUGCCGCGUGUAUGAAGAAGGCCUUCGGGUUGUAAAGUACUUUCAGCGAGGAGGCGUUACUCGCAGAAGAAGCACCGGCGAACUCCGUGCCAGCAGCCGCGGUAAAC